AUGAUGGCGGCCUUAGUCGCCGCGGUUCAUGGUGUUUUAGCAGCACAUCAUGGCGAUCUAGAGUACAGCACACGCACAAGGUUGCGGGCUCACACCAGAAAUAAGAGCAUCUGUAAGAUAGGAAAACAGAAAAAACAUAGUACAUAUGGCGUCGGCCUCUGGCCUCCUCUUCUCUUCUUCUUCUCCUCAUUCAGCGCGCUCGGUCGGCAUCGCCAGGAGCCCAGCUGCUCCUUUUGCUCUUUCUUCUUGUCCUUGCUUCCUCUGCCGCCGCCACCAGUAGCGCAACUCUUCCUCCUAUUGCUUCUUGUUCUUUUUUGCACUGUUCGAAACAGGCGUCGUAGGAUUUCGCGUGGCGGCAGCGCAGGUGGCAGUUUGGUGGUUCUCCCAGACGCAGGCCCCAAAGGCACGCGACGUGGCACGGUUUGUAGUCCUCCCGUCCGCUACACUGCGCUUUGCAGGAGGAGCUUGGGCUUUUCCUGGUGGCGGCCGCCCCGACGAGGAGCAGUGCUAGGCCGAGGAGUACACACGAUACAACAAGGCUGCUGCUGCUACGCUUCAUCUUGGAACCCAUACCCAUGGCUAGCCAAGCUAUCUCGUAGGUGGAUGGCUGUGUAG
rnacentral:rRNA from 1 species